AGGCUCUGGUUUUUCUUCAAAUCGUAUAAAUCUUUCGCCUUUUACUAAAGAUUUCCGUGGAGAGAAACAAUUUUGAGUUUUAAGCUAAUUUUUCGAAGUCUUGUAUUUUGCAGGACU